rnacentral:tRNA from 1 species
GCUGGGGUGGCGAAACUGGCAGACGCGCAGGACUUAGGAUCCUGUGGGGAAACCCAUGGAGGUUCAAUUCCUCUCCCCAGCA